rnacentral:rRNA from 1 species
GUGCCAGCAGCCGCGGUAAUACGGAGGGUGCGAGCGUUGUUCGGAAUUAUUGGGCGUAAAGCGCGUGUAGGCGGUUUGUUAAGUCUGAUGUGAAAGCCCUGGGCUCAACCCAGGAAGUGCAUUGGAUACUGGCAGACUUGAAUACGGGAGAGGGCAGUGGAAUUCCUGGUGUAGGAGUGAAAUCCGUAGAUAUCAGGAGGAACACCGGUGGCGAAGGCGGCUGCCUGGACCGAUAUUGACGCUGAGACGCGAAAGCGUGGGUAGCAAACAGGAUUAGAAACCCCGGUAGUCC